rnacentral:rRNA from 1 species
CGAACGGGUGAGUAACGCGUGAGGAGCCUGCCUCAAAGAGGGGGACAACAGUUGGAAACGACUGCUAAUACCGCAUAAGCCCACGGGUCGGCAUCGACCUGAGGGAAAAGGAGCAAUCCGCUUUGAGAUGGCCUCGCGUCCGAUUAGCUAGUUGGUGAGGUAAUGGCCCACCAAGGCGACGAUCGGUAGCCGGACUGAGAGGUUGAACGGCCACAUUGGGACUGAGACACGGCCCAG